AAACAUUGCCUUAUGAAUAAAUUAUAUAAGGUACAUCCUGCCCAGUGAAUAUUUCAACGGCCGCGGUAUCCUGACCGUGCUAAGGUAGCAUAAUCAUUUGCCUUUUAAUUAAAGGCUUGUAUGAACGGACAAACGAAAAUUAAGCUGUCUCUUUAAAAACAAUAAAAAUUAAUCUUCUAGUGAAAAAGCUAGAAUAUAAAUAAAGGACAAAAAGACCCUAUAGAACUUUAAUUAACAGUAUGCUAUCAUUAUUCUAUUUAUAGAUAAAAGUAGCACUCUUAUAUUUUGGUUGGGGCGACUUAGGAAUAACCUAAACUUCCUAUUAUACAAUAAGCGCCUCUGCUUUCCUAAUGACCCAUUUUAAUGAUCAUAAGAAUAGUUACCUUAGGGAUAACAGACUAAUUUUCCUUGAGAGACCAUAUUGACAGGAAAGUUUGGCACCUCGAUGUUGGCUUAGGUACCCCUAAAGGUGCAGAAACU
rnacentral:rRNA from 1 species